AUAUUCACUUACAAUGAAUAUACACAUAGAAACACAGGUCUGCAGGGAGCCCAUGUCCUAAUUUUACCCUGCAGACCUGUGUUUCUAUGUGUAUAUUCAUUGUAAGUGAAUAUAUGUAUGU